AGCAGCCGCGGUAAUUCCAGCUCCAAUAGCGUAUAUUAAAGUUGUUGCAGUUAAAAAGCUCGUAGUUGAAUUUCGGGAUUGGCGCAUCGGUCGUGCCUCACGGGGUAUGAACUGGUGCAGUCAAUUUCUCACCUUCUGGAGAACCGCGAUGUCCUUAAUUGGAUGCCGCGGGGAACCAGGACCUUUACUUUGAAAAAAAUUGAGUGUUUAAAGCAGGCAUUUUUGCUUGAAUACAUUAGCAUGGAAUAAUAAAAUAGGACGGCAUGGUUCUAUUUUGUUGGUUUCUAGGACCACCGUAAUGAUUAAUAGGGAUAGUUGGGGGCAUUAGUAUUCAAUUGUCAGAGGUGAAAUUCUUGGAUUUAUUGAAGACUAACUACUGCGAAAGCAUUUGCCAAGGAUGUUUUCAUUAAUCAAGAACGAAAGUUAGGGAUCGAAGACGAUCAGAUACCG
rnacentral:rRNA from 1 species